UGCUCCUGACUACACAUUUAGUCUGGCAUGAGCCAAUCUGACAAACAUGUAAACAUCCGUAUGUAAGGGGAGCAGUUUAAGAAAACUGAGCACAACAACAACAACAAACCCCCUAUCACGCUGAAUGCCAUCACUGCUGCCAGCAAGGCAGGAAGAGAGGUGUCAUGACUAAUAGCAAGUAACAACUGUGUAACACCAGGCCUGCAGUACUUUUUGUUUGCCAAAACUGCCAAAACUGGUCCAUGCGUAUUCAAGGGCACUGGAUCUCCUCUCUUGUCUGCUAAGCUGGAUGUGGCUACUAUUUCAGACAUCACUGAAGUCAAAUCCCAAGACACUUUUUUGUCACGACCAUGUGCUGCUGAGCCUCUUGUUGUCAUAAAUGCAAUUCCCCACUUUCUCCUUGGAGGAUUUCCCAAUGGCUCCAGCAGAACUCUAAACCAGGAGUGACACAUCUGAGAUCACCAGUCUUGACACACAAGGAGACAAAACUGUCAGUACGACUUUCUAAAUUCAUAGGCUUUUCUUUCUUUUUUUAUCUU